rnacentral:rRNA from 1 species
CUACGGAGGGUGCAAGCGUUAUUCGGAAUCACUGGGCGUAAAGGACGCGUAGGCGGGGUGGCAAGUCAGAUGUGAAAUCCUACAGCUUAACUGUAGAACUGCAUUUGAAACUGCUAACCUUGGGUAUGGGAGGGGGAGAUGGAAUUAGUGGUGUAGGGGUAAAAUCCGUAGAUAUCACUGGGAAUACCGAAAGCGAAGGCGAUCUCCUGGAACAUAACUGACGCUAAGGCGUGAAAGCGUGGGGAGCAAACAGGAUUAGAAACCCUAGUAGUCC